AUUGAACGCUGGCGGCAGGCCUAACACAUGCAAGUCGGGCGGAUGAAGGGAGCUUGCUCCUGGAUUCAGAGGCGGACGGGUGAGUAAUGCCUAGGAAUCUGCCUGGUAGUGGGGGAUAACGUCCGGAAACGGGCGCUAAUACCGCAUACGUCCUGAGGGAGAAAGUGGGGGAUCUUCGGACCUCACGCUAUCAGAUGAGCCUAGGUCGGAUUAGCUAGUUGGUGGGGUAAAGGCCUACCAAGGCGACGAUCCGUAACUGGUCUGAGAGGAUGAUCAGUCACACUGGAACUGAGACACGGUCCAGACUCCUACGGGAGGCAGCAGUGGGGAAUAUUGGACAAUGGGCGAAAGCCUGAUCCAGCCAUGCCGCGUGUGUGAAGAAGGUCUUCGGAUUGUAAAGCACUUUAAGUUGGGAGGAAGGGCAGUAAGUUAAUACCUUGCUGUUUUGACGUUACCAACAGAAUAAGCACCGGCUAACUUCGUG
rnacentral:rRNA from 1 species